CCUGUUCUGCUACAUGCUGAUAUGCUCCAUCAGAUGUGCAGACAAUCAAGUACUAACAGACAGUUGAAUGAACUAAUCAGCUUGUGGCAGAGCAGGAAGAGACAGAAAAUGUGUAGCUAGUGGUACUUGAGGACCAGGUUUGAGAACUACUGAUCGAGACAUGUGUCAUCUG